CUUCAGUAAAUCUUAUCAAAUUUAACGCUUUUUGAAAAAAUUAAUUUAAGUGUAACAUAUAUAAUGAAUCUAUUAAACAUAAUUAUACUAAAGUUGACAGCCCUUUCAAAAAUAUUUUUAAUUUGUAAUGUCUUCUUCUCUUCUUCUUCCUCGCCUUAAUGCCAACUACUUAGGGUCGGCCACCCUUAUCCUGAACUUCCACUUGACACGAUCUCCCACAUCAUCUACGCUCACAUCACCUGUCCACAUAUCGCAUUUAAUAGCAUCCCUCCAUCUCUUUUUUGGUCUUCCUCUACCUCUUCUUCCUUCAACAUUUAUUUCUAUAACUGUUCUUACAGCUUCUGAUUCUUCUUACCUCAUAAUAUGACCAAACCAUCUAAGUCUUUUUAAUUUUUUAUGCCUGUAAAUUAAAAAUAAAGUCUUACCACCAGUGAAUAAUAAUCAUUUUUCAAAUAUUUUUUUUAGAAAUACACCUAUUUGAAACAUUUUGAUUUAUAUUAGUUGAUUUUGUAUUAUUUGCUAGUAAUACUAUCUUAACGAUUCAUUUAUAAAUCUGCCAAAUAAAACACUUUUGUAUUUAGUUUACUAUAAUUUUUAUAUCUUUUAUUAGGUGAUGAAUUAACAAGAUGGACUUGUGGAAACGGAUGUGGUAGGCACUAUAAGUAUAAAUCAGAUUUAACUCGUCACAUGAAAAAAGAAUGUGGUGUAGAACCUCAACAUAGGUGUUUAAUUUGCUUUAAAGCUUUUAAGCGAAACUAUCACUUAACAGUUCACAUGGUUUUUUUGAUGGCCAUGGGACAAAAAGUUUACUUAAGUUGCCGUGCCCAAACAAUUGUGGAAGAUCAUACAACCAUCGUGGAACACUACGCCGACACUUAAAGUAUGAGUGUGGAGUUCCGCCGCAAUUCAAAUGUGAAUACUGCCCAAGAACAUUUGCACAAAAAGUAAACUUGAACAAACAUCAGCUUGCAGUACAUAAGAACAUAUUAGACGCCAUGAAACUACAAAUAUCUUCUUGAGAUAUUAGAAAGUGACACAAUUGAUUACCAAGACUACUUGUAUAAUUAAAUUUUAUGAGAAUCUUGACGAUAGUUAUAAUUUUAACAAAUAUCCUGGAUUGGACAAAAGUGCUUUUUUUAAAAGUUAACCUCAUGACAAUAAUAAAGUAUUAAUAAUCUUCUUCUUCUUCUUCCUCGUCUUAAUGCCAACUACUUGGGGUCGGCCACCUAUUAGCACUAUAUCGUCAGCAAAUAACAUGCACUAAGCAAUUUUAAACAAAAUAGAAAAUAUUGCUACUGAGGACCCAGUUCUGUGCCCAAACGAUUGUGGUCAUAAGUAUAAAGGCAAGUGGCGAAAGUAUAACCUAAAAAAUCAUCUAAUGUAUGAAUGUGGUGUGCCAAGACAGUUCCAGUGCUACAUAUGUAGAAAAAGUUUUGCUCAGAAAGUUGGUCUCAAAAUGCACGUUCUUAAAAUUCAUAAAAUUAUCUACUCUGAAUAAGUG